rnacentral:rRNA from 1 species
UACGUAGGGUGCAAGCGUUGUCCGGAAUUAUUGGGCGUAAAGAGCUCGUAGGCGGUCUGUCGCGUCUGCUGUGAAAACUCGGGGCUUAACCCCGGGCCUGCAGUGGGUACGGGCAGACUAGAGUGCGGUAGGGGAGACUGGAAUUCCUGGUGUAGCGGUGAAAUGCGCAGAUAUCAGGAGGAACACCGGUGGCGAAGGCGGGUCUCUGGGCCGUAACUGGACGCUGGAGGAGCGAAAGCGUUGGGGAGCGAACA